CAAUAGCGUAUAUUAAAGUUGUUGCAGUUAAAAAGCUCGUAGUUGGAUUUCUGGCAGGAGCGACCGGUCACACACUCUGUGUGUGAACUUGCGUUGUCUCUGGCCAUCCUUGGGAAGAUCCUGUUUGGCAUUAAGUUGUCGGGCAGGGGAUACCCAUCGUUUACUGUGAAAAAAUUAGAGUGUUUAAAGCAGGCUUAUGCCGUUGAAUAUAUUAGCAUGGAAUAAUAAGAUAGGACUUCGGAACUAUUUUGUUGGUUUGCGUUACGAAGUAAUGAUUAAUAGGGACAGUUGGGGGUAUUCGUAUUUCGUUGUCAGAGGUGAAAUUCUUGGAUUUCCGAAAGACGAACUACUGCGAAAGCACUUACCAAGGAUGUUUUCAUUAA
rnacentral:rRNA from 1 species